rnacentral:lncRNA from 1 species
GAGUGGUAACUUGACAUUUUCUAUUCAUGAUUCAUAUGAUCAACCUCUAUUGAGCCUUUAUUAGGCAAUAAGGAUACACGUUUUAAAAAAUGAGAUAGACCUCAUCUUCAAGGAUCUUACAUUCUGCUGAGGAUAUAAAACAGAUUCUCAGGAGAGUAAAGGAUAUAAUUAAAACAACAACAACAAAGUGAUGACGGGAAAGGAAGAGAGAGAAUAUUGGGAAAAACAAAGGCUCAAAAAAGAGCGGCACUUGAGCCUCGAAGGGAUUUAGGAGCUCCAAUAACCAAAGGCUCACCAUCGAAGCUGAGAUCUUCCCCAUCUUUUACCAGGACAGUCACGGCAACGGGUUCUUCACUGAUAGCUGACCCCCAGUCUCUCCCUUCUCCCAUUCUCCCUCCACCUAGAUUUGAACUGAUAUUAUGAAACACAGACAGGUUUUUAGGUGUGAUCAUAUCCACUCAGUAAACUCCAGUUUCU